rnacentral:rRNA from 1 species
GAUGAACGCUGGCGGCGUGCUUAACACAUGCAAGUCGAACGAUGAAAGCGGGAGCUUGCUCCUGCUGGGUUAGUGGCGAACGGGUGAGUAACACGUGAGCAAUCUGCCCCGAACUCUGGGAUAAGCGUUGGAAACGACGUCUAAUACCGGAUACGACGCGCGAAGGCAUCUUCUGCGCGUGGAAAGAACUUCGGUUCGGGAUGAGCUCGCGGCCUACCAGCUAGUUGGUGAAGUAACGGCCCACCAAGGCGACGACGGGUAGCCGGCCUGAGGGGGUGACCGGCCACACUGGGACUGAGACACGGCCCAGACUCCUACGGGAGGCAGCAGUGGGGAAUAUUGCACAAUGGGCGCAAGCCUGAUGCAGCAACGCCGCGUGAGGGACGACGGCCUUCGGGUUGUAAACCUCUUUUAGUAGGGAAGAAGCGAAAGUGACGGUACCUGCAGAAAAAGCACCGGCUAACUACGUGCCAGCCGCCGCAGUAAAAC